rnacentral:rRNA from 1 species
GUGGGGAAUAUUGGACAAUGGGGGGAACCCUGAUCCAGCCAUGCCGCGUGUGUGAAGAAGGCCUUUUGGUUGUAAAGCACUUUAAGCGAGGAGGAGGCUACCGAGAUUAAUACUCUUGGAUAGUGGACGUUACUCGCAGAAUAAGCACCGGCUAACUCUGUGCCAGCAGCCGCGGUAAUACAGAGGGUGCAAGCGUUAAUCGGAUUUACUGGGCGUAAAGCGCGCGUAGGUGGCCAAUUAAGUCAAAUGUGAAAUCCCCGAGCUUAACUUGGGAAUUGCAUUCGAUACUGGUUGGCUAGAGUAUGGGGGAGGAUGGUAGAAGUCCAGGUGUAGCGGUGAAAUGCGUAGAGAUCUGGAGGAAUACAGAUGGCGAAGGCAGCCAUCUGGCCUAAUACUGACACUGAGGUGCGAAAGCAUGGGGAGCAAACAGGAUUAGAAACCCGGGUAGUCC